UACGAAGGGGGCUAGCGUUGCUCGGAAUUACUGGGCGUAAAGGGAGCGUAGGCGGACAUUUAAGUCAGGGGUGAAAUCCCGAGGCUCGACCUCGGAACUGCCUUUGAUACUGGAUGUCUUGAGUGUGAGAGAGGUGAGUGGAACUCCGAGUGUAGAGGUGAAAUUCGUAGAUAUUCGGAAGAACACCAGUGGCGAAGGCGACUCACUGGCUCAUUACUGACGCUGAGGCUCGAAAGCGUGGGGAGCAAACAGG
rnacentral:rRNA from 1 species